rnacentral:lncRNA from 1 species
ACGUAAUCAAAUGACGCAAUCAGCUGACGGCUGGUUGACGGAUAAUGUGAGGUUAUAAGUUUGUUUUGGACAGCCAAGUAGACAGCGAUUGCACGUUUAUUGAUAUUGCUUUCCACGUAAUUUUCCGUUAAGGCAGGUUUUCUCAGCUUGAACAAAAUUCUCUUCAGUCAUGUGUCUUCUUCAUUGUAAAUUCUGACCGAUUCAGAUAAUUUUUAACGUCACCCAGUUAAUCUACAAUCAUGGGAGGUAAACGGAAACCAGCCCAGAGAACGAAGAAUAAUGUCAGACCAUCAAGUAGUGGAAGAAGUGCGGAGCUCCUUACCAGCGCUCCGUCUGGAUUUCUUGAGGCCUCCCAGCUGAGUGAUGGCAGUGUCUUACCAUUACCCUCACUUCUUUUCCCUGGUCUCCCUGGUGUGAGUCCUUUGACCUCCUCCAGUUUGAAUCUGGUAUAAGUCCAGAAUAUCAAUUGGUUGUGAAAAAAAUGAAGAAAAAAGAUUCCGUCACCAGGCACAAGGCCUUACAAGAGUUUGUACAAUUACUUGAGAAGUCAAAUACGGAUGAAAUCAAAAUAAUUCUCCCUAUUUGGUCCCGCUUAUACUCAACUUUGGCACUUGAUAUAGAUCAUAAAGUGAGAGAAGUUUGCCAAGAAGCCCACAGAAUUAUGGUAAUAAAGCUGGUCGUAACAUUGCUCCAUCUCUGAAGCAGCUGAUCGGACCAUGGUUUUUGUCAGCAUUUGACUCCUUCCCGCUCGCUGCUCAAAAAGCUGUACUCAGUUUUGAGGUAAAGUCAACAAUCAAAUCAUGUAUGAUAAUUUUUUUUUUGUCACCUGUAAGAGGUGUACCUUUGCUUUUUCAUGCCACAAUCAACUUGGCAGCCAAAAUUGUCAUGGGGUGGGCAACAAAGUUUUGAAAGUGAAAACCCUAGUCAAUAUUGAUGGUAUUUUGGAGGUAAAAUCCAAAUUUUGGGGUCAACCCGUCUUCAGCCCCUGCAGGAAUUUUCAAAUCCAAGGCAGCUGAAUAAUGAACUCUCAAGAGAAAUCAAAAAGGCAAGUCCUACACUCUUCAGUGAGGUGUCUCUUACCACAUUUCUUAGAUCUUGAAACGUAAUGGGACUAAUCUCCCUUACUUUUUGCUGUUGAAGCCAAAAAUUACUCCAGAUUUUUUGCCACCCUUCAUUAAUUUUGUAGAAAAUAGAAUUUUCCGCAAAGUGGCCCACUUUUAUGCCAAAUAGCGUAUGUUUUUUCAAAACUCUUUUGACCCCAAAAUUGGUGGGUGAUGGGAAAGAAAUUAGGAUUGUUUUCGACUUCAGUAGUAAGGAGCGAGUGGGACAAAUCUCUUUAAGCAUCAGCCAUUGAUAUUAUUUCAUCUUUUUUAGGAAGCAUUUGUACCUAACAAAAGAACAGAAGCUCUGCUCUUUUGCCACUUAGAAAUAUUGUCAUUUAUCGAAGAAAAUGUCAUCAUUCACACUCCCACUACUUUGACUAAUCCAGGGUAAGUCUCCUGUUUUUAGCUUUUUGCUUUGAGCCCUUAAAUCACAAUUUAUUUGAGCCAUCCCUUCAACUUUUGUCAUUUUCAAUUGUUUUUUUAACCUACAUUGACAAUAGAAAUAUGACUUUUCACUCUUUCCUUUAAGCUUUAAAAAAAACCAGAUGCUGAAAAAAAACGGUAUUUAAUUUUAAACUCUGAAUUUGAUAGAUUAGAACAUUUUCUAUGUAUCAUCGAAAGAAAAAAAAAAAAUAAUCUGGUAGCCUUUUACUUUUGCAGAAAUCUAAAUUCAGGGAAAUAUAUGUCAGUAGAUAGAUGUAUCUUUCUACAUCACUACAAAACUACGUAAGUGAAAUUAUGUAGUUUAAAAUCAAUGAUUUUCAGAAUCUAUGGUCAUUCUAUAAAAAUCAACAAUAAAAAAAAUUGCCUCAGCCAUUUUUUAUUUUGAUGAGUGGGGGAUCAAUGCCUGGCAGUGAUGGGUUUUCAAGGACACUUAAGUAUCCGUCAUCGUAGUUGUAGGGAUAUGUCUAUCCGGUAUUAGUCAGUUUUCAUUGUUUGGCUUUGUUGUAAUUUGAUUGUGAAUCGCUCGUUAUAUACGCGACUGCCAGCGUUACCCUUUCAGACCCUCUCAUAGGCAUGCUCCUUCCAGGUAUGUAGUCUUCCACGGAAAGUAAAAAGUAAAAUUG